rnacentral:lncRNA from 1 species
UGAGGAUCGAACCCAGGGCCCCACGUGCCAGUUGAGCCCUCUACCACUGAGCUACAACCCCAGCCCAAUACAUGAAUUCUUAUUGCUAACAAGAGUUUCCAGAGUUCCCGUCUUGACCAGAAAGACUUAAAGCCACAGGAAGUCACCAGGUAGGUUGGUGGGAACUUUUCCUUCAAACUGUGAACUGAGCCACCUGGAUGGGACUCACUACUGACACGACUAGGUCUCUAGUAUCAAGACAUUUCUCUCCUUCUUCCUUUCACUCAUUUACCCUUACAUUUUGAGAAGUCUUUGAACAAAAGGACUCAUACAUACUACACAUUUCAUUGCUGACACUGACUCAUAAAAUUUGAAAAAAAAAAACCUGUAUUAAUUUUCUUUUAUUCUAGACACGAUGCCAGGUGGUACAGAGGGGUUUUAAAAGAUAAAAAGCCAUGGCCCUGUGCUCAAGAACCACACUUUUGAGGUAAGAAGAUAGAAAAUGACUACAGAUGACUGGGUAAGGUCUAUCUUUACAAAGGAGGAACAUGUGAUCUGAAUCUAGAGGACAAGAUGCAUUUGGUGAGUGGAAUAAGAAAAGAGAAACUUUCAAAUUGAAAGAAGAGCAAGAAUUAGGACAUGAAGGGGCAGGGGCCACCUUGGCUUCCUAGUCAUCUGCCUGUUUAACUCCAAUGCAGUUGAGUAGCUUUUGAAAAGUUAGAAAUGAACAAAUGUAAGAACCAUUACAGUCACUUCAGAAACUGAAUUAGUGUGAUCUGUAUUUUGUAACCAGAGAUAUCAAAAAUAGUAUAGGGGACUGGGUUUGUUUCCUUUUGGUAACCCAAGGACACUUCUCCCUACUUUCGCAUCAAGUCACAGUAACUCUUUAACUGACCUCCUGUUCAAAGAAAACUGAAGGAAUACAGAGGAAGAGAGGAAGUGCAAAAGGGAAAUCUGAUAACGGUUCAAACCGCCUGUCCCACGCCAUUCCCUUGACGCAGUGGUUCUGGAUUUCCAUAGGCUCUGGACCCUUGAGAACUGAUGAGAUUGAAACAGCUUCUCCAGGAAAUUGCACAUGUGCACUCUUGCUCAGAAUCUACCCAGAAACUGUGGUUUUUACCUUUAUACCCAUUUCAUGUAGACUGGAAGAGGAAAUGAGUCUCAAAGGCAUAGAAGGGGGUUCAUAACAUGGCCCACAUGUCCAUGAGCUCAAGGAUCAAACUUCUCCAUAGACUGAGAGGCCUUAGAACAGAAAGCCUUGCACCAGAGCGAAGAUGAAGAACCAAACGCUGCACAAGCACCACUUGGCUACUCCUUCAUCCCCACCCUUCAGACAAUGAGGGCCCUGGGAAGCCUGAACACCACACUAGCAGGAGCCUUCACUGGGGGGGGAUACAGUUGUGUGGUCUAUGUCUUCAACUCCCUCAUCCACAAAAUGGGUCUAAUGUAAGACCUCUCCUACCCUCCUCCUGGCAUUGCUGUGAGAAUCCCGGUCAUAGGCUGUCGAGUGCUCACAAAUGAUAGCUAUCGUUGUUAUCUGCUUCUUGAAUAGAGGCCACCUUUAAGGAAUCAAUAGCUGCUUCUACAACCCACUUCAAAGCGAAAGCUCUUACCUACCACAGUGCCCUAAUCAUUUCAUAGUAAAUAGUGUAAAAUAAAAUAAGCUGCUUCAUCAUCAGCCCCCUGAGUAUUAUCAGAUUGAUCAAGUAGCGUUUCCACUAAAGGAUAAUCUGUUUAACCUGGAUGAAUCAGCAGUGUUAUUAUUGAGCAAGUAGGUAGGGAAGGCCAGGUGUGCUGGAAGAUAACUCAAACGAGCUGGGGAGCCUGUUCAGUUUCCCCCUUGAAACGCACUCAACAUCCAAAGUCCCCACCUGAGCUCACCAUCCUCACCACCUGCCCAAACGCCUCCCCAUCCUGUUUGUGCUCACCAUCCAGUGCACCACUGUCCCCGGCUGGCUUUAAUUAUGCCCACCCCCACUGGCCCCCUCCCAAAUGCACACAUUCUGUCAGUACAAAUCUGUCGCUCUUCUGGCUCUUCCCUUUCCACCCAUUGAUACUGUUUCUGCCCGAUCUCUCUUUGGCUCUUGAAGAAGAGAUGGCAGAAUUCCACCUAAAUGUGCAUUCAUGAUAUUGGGACCGGUUUCUCUACCCGUGAAUUAGAUCAAGCUUCUUAGUGUUUUGCUAACUCCAUGGCAGCCCUACCAAGUUUUAUUUUGCAAAAUUCCACCAAUUAUUAACAGAGAUGUGCUAAAAAUCCCCCACUGCAAUGGUGGAUUUGUUGGUUCUGCCCUGUAUUUAUGUCAAUUUUGGUUGUUUAAAUAGAAGCUGCAUUAUCAGGUGGUUACAAGGUUAGAAUUCAUACUCAAAUUUUCCUCCUGUAUUAUUCCUUUGAUGAAAAUGUGGUAGUCCUCUUCCACCUUAACAAUGCUUUUUUGCCAUCAGGCCCACGGUGCUGAUGUUAACAUAGUCCAACCAGCCCUCUUUGGGUGAAUAUUUAGCUCAUAUAUCUUCUUCUACCCUUUCAUUUCCAGUCAUCCUGUAGAUCUGCCCCUUGUAAAUUGGAGAUAGCUGACUUGGUGUUUAUUUUUCCUGUGGGCUGUAAGGAAUUUUUAAUCUGUUCUGAUAAUCUCUGGAUAACAAGUGAUAAAUGCAGUGUGCUUGUACUGGUUGUGCCGACUGCUAUCUCAUUUCAUGCUUUCUUUUCAUCCAUUUCUAUGCCUUUUUCCUCCUUUCUGCCUCCUAUUGGUUUUAUCAUGUUUCACUUACUCCAUUCCUUUCCUCUACUUACUUGAAAGUUCUAGAUCCUAUUUCUAUUAGUGUUUCUCGUAGUAUUUAGUAGGCGGCUCUCAUUUGGGGUUACACAAAAAUAGGGCGAUGGCAAGGGGUGUAGCUCAGCUGUAGAGUGUAGGCUCGCAUGAGCAGAGCCCUGGGUUCCAUCCCAGCUCUGAAAACAAUAAAAUAGGGUCAUGGGGGGAUGGCGAUGGGAACAUGGGGGGGCACCAGCAGAGGAAGAGGUGGAGGUGGCGCACUCCAUUCCGAGCCUGGCUCCCCUCAUCCUGCAGGGUCUUCCCCAUUCUCCCUCAAUAUGGUAAAUUGUGCCAUAACAAAUAGUCCUUGAGCUAUUACUGCCUAACUUACAAAGACAUCAAACAUCCAUUCAUUUAUUUACUAUAUAAGAAAAGCCACUGUCGUGGUGAUGAGAUUAAUGGCAAUGAAUGAUAAAAAGUUGCAGCUCUCAUGGAGUUGGAGUUAGUUCCUACUCCAGUAGGUAGGAACAGACAGUAUAUAGACCAUCUGAUGGAAAGGUAGAAUGAGGAGAGGGGGAGGGGGAGAUAAAGGAAGAGAAGAAAAGAGGGAAGGAAGGAAGGACCGACAGCUGUGGGUAAGGCUUAGUCAGAAAAUUAAACCAAGGUGAUGCCUUGGUGAUGGUUGGGGUAAACAGUUCAGACUUAAUGGUCUUACCCUCCUGAUGCUGAGCUGAAAUCUGACAGAUGAGAUCUGAGCCCUUCACAGGCAGGAACAAGAACAUCCCAGGUACAUGGAGCAAUCCGUGCAAAGGCCCUGGUGAGUAAGCAUUGCUCUUCCAAAAAGCCCACAGAAGCAAGUAUGAGUGGAAUGCAGUUAGAUCCUGGGAGGGAGGUCGGAAGCAAGGGCAGAGAAGUAGACAUGCACCAGACCAUGCAGGGCUUUGUGCACCAGGUGAGCAUCCUGAAGCUUAUUCCACACGUGCUCAGAAGUCCCGGGAGAGUUUUAAGUAAGAAAGUGCCAUCAUCUGAAUUCUAUCUUUACACUAUCACGCUGGCUGGGGAACCCCUGCACACUGUUGGUGGAAAUGUAAAUUAGGACAGCCCUACAGAAAAUAGCUUGGAGUUUCCUCAAAAAGUUAAAAAAUCAACCCAGUCAUUCCACUAGUGGAUACAUAUCCAAAGGAAGUAAAAUCAGUGUGUCAAAGAGACAACAGCACUACACUAUUCACAAUAGCCAAGAAAUGGAAAUAAUUCAAGUGUCCAACAACUGAUGAAUGGAUAAAGGAUAGGGAAAAUCGGUGUGUGCACACACCUACACCCAGUGGAAUGAUAAUUCUAUCAUUUUCAAAAACACAGAUGGAACUGGAGAUGAUUAUGUGAAGCAGAAUAAGCCAGGCACAGAAAGACAAGCCCCGAAUGAUCUCACUCUUCCCCAAGGUCACACAUGCGUGACAGCUGGGAUGAGAAACUUCCCCACUACAGUAGACUCUAAAAGAAUUAGUCUUGUAGAAAUUGAGAGUAGAAUGGUCAUUACCAGAGGCUGGGAGGGGGUGGGGGAGGGGGAGAUGGGGAGAGGUUGAUCAGUGGGUCUGAGUGGCAGCUAGAGCCGAGCAAGAAGUAGGGUAUAUGGGUAACGAUAAUGAACUGUGUGCUUUUAAAAAGCUAGAAGAAAGGAUUCUGAAAAUUUUCACCAUAAAGAAAUGCUGAAUGUCUGAUUAGACAAAUAUGCUUAAUCUGAUUUUGAAAUUAUACAACGUAUUCAUGUAUCAAGGCAUCACAUGGUACCCCAUUAACAUAUACAAAUUUUAUGUUUUUAUGUAUCCAUCAAAAAAUAAAUUUUAAAAGUAUAUCACACUGGCAGAUGCAUGUUGUAAAUACAGAAAUUGUUGAGGAGAUGCAUGUAAAAAUAAAUUGUGGGCAGUUCCAUACUUCCUGCCUGAUGCCUUGUCUCCCCUAAAACCACUAUCAUGGCCACACACCACCCUGCGUCUACUCACCAAGCUCUGGUCUCAUGGCACCAUCUCGUGGUCAG